AUAUGUAGGUAAAAAAUUGAAGCAGAACAAACCAGGCUCCAGCUUUGCUUGUCGCUGAACUACCUCCAGGCACCACAGGACUAGGAAGUGCCUUUACACAAGGACUGAAUGUGGCCUGCAAGAUGGGAGAUGGACCCAUGUGUGAAUACUCCCAAACUUAAGUAGAGCCAACACUUUGCAUUCACGUCUUCCAGCACAUAGAAUAUAAAUCAAGGCUCCAUAUUUUCAAAAAUGAGGUGGAAUCUUCAGGCUUCUCCACUCUUAAAAGACUGUUCCUAAAUAACAGCAAGCAAUACAACCAUUUACUUCCACACUUCUGAAAGUUACAGGUGACAUUUUUACCUUGCGCUGGCUGUGAUCAAGGACCAGUCCAACAAAAGGAUUUGUUUCUCAUGGUUGGAGAAAAACGAAGUUGACAACACACCAGUGUUUAUAGUUGCUGCAAAGAAAGAAAGAAAGAAAGAAAGAAAGAAAGAAAGAAAGAAAGAAAGAAAGAAAGAAAGAAAGGAAGAAAGAAAGGAAGAAAAAGAAGAAAGAAAAAAAGGAAAAAAAGAAGAAGAAGAAAGAAAAAAAGGAAAAAAGAAAAUAUUGAAUCAAGGAAAGAAGUCUGUUAGCCAUGUGAUAAAAUCUAAGAUAUGACACUGAGAUUUUAUUGGCCAGAAAGUUUUGUACCAACUUGAGUAAUGGUCAUCACAGAAGUCUUAUGCAAAGAAAGCUUUACUGUUGUUUGAGGCUUCAUCCAAUAAAGGAAGAUUUAGCCAACAAAAUUCAAAUAGAAUGGUGAAGACACUAAGACAGAGAAGGAAAAGAUGAAACAGAAGAAACAACGUUUGGUUAAUUUCCACUGGGAUCCUCGUUCUACAUGCCCCAGGGGAGCAAAGGAAGGGAAAGGAGUGG
ensembl:lncRNA